rnacentral:rRNA from 1 species
AUUGAACGCUGGCGGCAGGCCUAACACAUGCAAGUCGAACGAGUGGCGGACGGGUGGGUAAUGUCUGGGAAACUGCCUGAUGGAUGGGGAUAACUACUGGAAACGGUAGCUAAUAACGCAUACCAUCAGAUGCGCCCAGAUGGGAUUAGCUCGUUGAUGGGGUAAAGGCUCACCAAGGCGACGAUCCCUAGCUGGUCUGAGAGGAUGACCAGCCACACGGAAACUGAUACACGGCCCAGACUCCGACGGGAGGCAGCAGUGGGGAAUAUUGCACAAUGGGGGCAAGCCUGAUGCAGCCAUGCCGAGUGUAUGAAGAAGGCCUUCGGGUUGUAAAGUACUUUCUGCGGGGAGGCGUUACCCGCAGAAGAAGCACCGGCUAACUCCGUGCCAGCAGGCGCGGUAAUAC